AACUACGGCUGUGGCGCGUUGAUACAUCCGAUCAUGGAAGUUAAGUGUCGUGCAGUCCAGACAGUACUUGGAUGGGAGACCACCAAGGAAGACUGGAUACUGUAGCCG
rnacentral:rRNA from 1 species